UACGGGGGGGGCAAGCGUUGUUCGGAAUUACUGGGCGUAAAGGGCCAGUAGGCGGCCAACUAAGUCGGAUGUGAAAUCCCCAGGCUUAACCUGGGAACUGCAUCCGAUACUGGAUGGCUUGAAUUCGGGAGAGGGAUGCAGAAUUCCAGGUGUAGCGGUGAAAUGCGUAGAUAUCGGAAGGAACGCCCGUGGCGAAAGCGAGGUCCUGGACGCCAUCUGACGCUGAGACGCGAAAGCCAGGGGAGCGAACGGG
rnacentral:rRNA from 1 species